rnacentral:rRNA from 1 species
UACGUAGGGGGCAAGCGUUGUCCGGAUUUAUUGGGCGUAAAGAGCGUGUAGGCGGCCAGGUAGGUCCGUUGUGAAAACUCGAGGCUCAACCUCGAGACGUCGGCGGAAACCCUCUGGCUAGAGUCCGGAAGAGGAGAGUGGAAUUCCUGGUGUAGCGGUGAAAUGCGCAGAUAUCAGGAGGAACACCAAUGGCGAAGGCAGCUCGCUGGAACGGUACUGACGCUGAGGCGCGAAAGCGUGGGGAGCAAACAGGG